AACCGGAUUAGAUACCCUGGUAGUCCACGCUGUAAACGAUGUCGAUUUGGAGGUUGUGCCCUUGAGGCGUGGCUUCCGGAGCUAACGCGUUAAAUCGACCGCCUGGGGAGUACGGCCGCAAGGUUAAAACUCAAAUGAAUUGACGGGGGCCCGCACAAGCGGUGGAGCAUGUGGUUUAAUUCGAUGCAACGCGAAGAACCUUACCUACUCUUGACAUCCAGAGAACUUAGCAGGGAUGCUUUGGUGCCUUCGGGAACUCUGAGACAGGUGGCAUGGCUGUCGUCAGCUCGUGUUGUGAAAUGUUGGGUUAAGUCCCGCAACGAGCGCAACCCUUAUCCUUUGUUGCCAGCGGUUCGGCCGGGAACUCAAAGGAGACUGCCAGUGAUAAACUGGAGGAAGGUGGGGAUGACGUCAAGUCAUCAUGGCCCUUACGAGUAGGGCUACACACGUGCUACAAUGGCGUAUACAAAGAGAAGCGACCUCGCGAGAGCAAGCGGACCUCAUAAAGUACGUCGUAGUCCGGAUUGGAGU
rnacentral:rRNA from 1 species